GCCUUCGUGGUGUAGUGGUCAGCACGCUCGACGCGUAUUCGAGAGGUCAGCGGUUCGAGUCUCGGCGAGGGCA
rfam:Stegodyphus mimosarum contig29620, whole genome shotgun sequence.